rnacentral:tRNA from 1 species
GCUCAUGCCGUCUAGUUGGUUUGGACAUCUCCCUUUCACGGAGAAGAUCACCGGUUCGAGUCCGGUCGUGAGUA